rnacentral:rRNA from 1 species
UACGGGGGGAGCAAGCGUUGUUCGGAAUCACUGGGCGUAAAGGGCGCGUAGGCGGCUUUGUAAGUCGGGGGUGAAAGCCUGUGGCUCAACCACAGAAUUGCCUUCGAUACUGCAUGGCUUGAGACCGGAAGAGGUAAGUGGAACUGCGAGUGUAGAGGUGAAAUUCGUAGAUAUUCGCAAGAACACCAGUGGCGAAGGCGGCUUACUGGUCCGGUUCUGACGCUGAGGCGCGAAAGCGUGGGGAGCAAACAGG